rnacentral:SRP_RNA from 10 species
GCCGGGCGCGGUGGCGCGUGCCUGUAGUCCCAGCUACUCGGGAGGCUGAGGCUGGAGGAUCGCUUGAGUCCAGGAGUUCUGGGCUGUAGUGCGCUAUGCCGAUCGGGUGUCCGCACUAAGUUCGGCAUCAAUAUGGUGACCUCCCGGGAGCGGGGGACCACCAGGUUGCCUAAGGAGGGGUGAACCGGCCCAGGUCGGAAACGGAGCAGGUCAAAACUCCCGUGCUGAUCAGUAGUGGGAUCGCGCCUGUGAAUAGCCACUGCACUCCAGCCUGGGCAACAUAG